GAACCAAUGGUGCAGUGAUAGCACACCAAUCCAGUAAUUUGUGGACGGUGGGUUCAAUUCCCCCUCGGUUCA